CGGAGGAAAAGAAACUAACUAGGAUUCCCUUAGUAACGGCGAGUGAACCGGGAUGAGCUCAAAUUUGAAAUCUGGCGUCUUUCAGGCGUCCGAGUUGUAAUCUAUAGAGGCGUUUUCCGCGCCGGACCGCGUCCAAGUCUCUUGGAAUAGAGUAUCAAAGAGGGUGACAAUCCCGUACUUGACGCGACAACCGGUGCUCUGUGAUACGUUCUCAAUGAGUCGAGUUGUUUGGGAAUGCAGCUCUAAAUGGGUGGUAAAUUCCAUCUAAGGCUAAAUAUUGGCGAGAGACCGAUAGCGAACAAGUACCGUGAGGGAAAGAUGAAAAGCACUUUGGAAAGAGAGUUAAACAGCACGUGAAAUUGUUAAAAGGGAAACGAUUGAAGUCAGUCGUGUGGGAAGUAUUCAGCCGUCUCUGGCGGUGUAUUUGCUUCUCACGGGUCAACAUCAGUUUGAUCCGGUAGAAAAAGGCGGGAAGAAGGUGGCACCCUCGGGUGUGUUAUAGCUUCCUGUCAUAUGUGCCGGACCAGACUGAGGAACGCAGCUUGCAGCAAUGCCGGGGUUCGCCCACGUACAAGCUUAGGAU
rnacentral:rRNA from 1 species